AAUCAGAGAUGUUGUUAUGUUAUAAAGAUGGGCAUAUUAAAAUGCUGGCGUAAUUAAAAAAAAUAAACAAUAUAUUUUUCUAUAUUCAUUCAUUAGGAAUGACAUAAGACUGCAAAGGGGUACAUGUGAAUAAAGCCUAGAGCUGCCCCUUUCCUUCUUUUCUCCUACUCUCUGGAUUAAAUGACCAUAAGAAUAAAAGCAGCAAAUCAAGAUGUCACAAUGUAC